UUGGAAUGGGCAUAUUUACCCAAUGUCUGUACCCCCAUUGUAUCUAGGAAGUAACUAACUUGCUUUUGAUUUUACAGGCUCAUAGGCAGAAGGGACUUGCCUUGUCUCAGAUGAGACUUUGGACUUGGACUUUUGAGACCAUACUGGAAUGAUUUAAGACUUUGGGGGACUAUUGGAAGGACAUGAUUAUUUUUUGAAUUGUGAGGACAUGAGAUUUGGGAGGGGCCAGGGGCAGAAUGAUAUGGUUUUGCCAUGUCCCCCCGCCCAAAUCUCAUCUUGAAUUAUAGUUCCCAUAAUCCCCACAUGUCAUAGGAAGUAUCUGGUAGGAGGUAAUUGAAUCAUGGGGGUGGUUCCCCCAUGCUAUUCUUGUGAUAGUGAGUUCUCAGGAGAUCUGAUGGUUUUAUAAGGGGCUUCCCCUGCACUUGGUUUUUCAUUCUUCUGUCGCCUGCUGCCAUGUGAAGAAAGAAGUGUUUGCUUCCCCUUCCAUCAUGGUUGGACGUUUCCUGAGGCCUCUCCAGUCAUGCUGAGCUAGGUACCUGGUGCCAGUUCCUGAGACUUGAGGAUUCUGGUUGGUUCUCAGCACAGGAGUCAGCCUGCUCUGAUUUGCUAGUGCGUCUAGAGUGUUGACAGUUGUUUCCAUGGACUUCAAAUCAACCCAACCCUGUGAGCACAGACUUUCAGCACCAGAGUCAGAUUUCCCAAAAAUGCUAUUCUUGAAGCGUAGAGCCAGACUCACAGAUCCUGUAAAGAAAACAGAUCUUUCAGCAAGUGAAACACCCAAUCUUCCAUUGCAUGGGACUCACAGAGGUUCUGAGGGAGAGAUGUGAAUAGAAGGAGUGAUCAUCACUGUGGACUCUAUUUCUUCCAUCUGUGCGUGCAAGAUUUAUAUCUGUAUGUGUUUGUUUUAAAGUUUUAUUGAGGUAUAAUUGAUACACAAUAAUCUGUACCUAUUUAAUGUAUACAAUUUGAUGAGUUUGGACAUACUUAAAUACCUGUGAAACCAUCACCACAAUCAAGGUAAUAGACAUAGCCAUCACCUCCAAAAGUUUCUUUGUGUCCCUUUGUGGUUUGUUUCUGAGAUAAGAACACUUAACAUGUGGACUCUUGACACUCUCCUUGGAUCUCUUAAUUUGAUUGCUGUUGCUGUCACCACAUUGACUUCCUAGCCCUGCUGAUCCUCCUUUAUCACUAGCUCUAGAAAAAAAAACAAACCAAACACCACUAAUUCAUUUAUUCAGUAAUUCAACAAAAAAACCAUUGAGCACUUAAUAUUUGCAGAAUACAUGGCUAGAUGCAGAG
rnacentral:lncRNA from 1 species